UACGUAGGGGGCAAGCGUUGUCCGGAAUCAUUGGGCGUAAAGCGCGUGUAGGCGGCCAGAAAAGUCCGCUGUGAAAACUCGAGGCUCAACCUCGAGCUGUCGGUGGAAACUUUCUGGCUAGAGUCCGGAAGAGGAGAAUGGAAUUCCUGGUGUAGCGGUGAAAUGCGCAGAUAUCAGGAAGAACACCCGUGGCGAAGGCGGUUCUCUGGAACGCAACUGACGCUCAUGCACGAAAGCGUGGGGAGCAAACAGG
rnacentral:rRNA from 1 species